GUGGGGCGGCAGGGUAGCCUAGUGGUUAGAGCGGGUAGCCUAGUGGUUAGAGCAGGUAGCCUAGUGGUUAGAGUGUAGAGGGGUGGUAGGUAGCCUAGUGGUUAGAGUGGAGGAACAGCAGGUAGCCUAGUGGUUAGAGUGGAGGGACAGCAGGUAGCCUAGUGGUUAGAGUGGAGGGACGGCAGGUAGCCUAGUGGUUAGAGUGGAGGGACAGCAGGUAGCCUAGUGGUUAGAGUGGAGGGGCGGCAGGUAGCCUAGUGGUUAGAGUGUAGGGGUGGUAGGUAGACUAGUGCCUAGUGGUUAGGGGCGGUAGGUAGCCUAGUGGUUAGAGUGGAGGUGUGGUAGGUAGCCCAGUGGUUAGAGUGGAGGGGUGGUAGGUAGCCAAGUGGUUAGAGUGGAGGUGUGGUAGGUAGCCCAGUGGUUAGAGUGGAGGGGUGGUAGGUAGCCUAGUGGUUAGAGUGGAGGGGUGGCAGGUAGCCUAGUGGUUAGAGUGGAGGGGUGGUAGGUAGCCAAGUAGUUAGAGCGUUGGCCAGUAACCGAAAGGUUGCCAGAUUGAAUCCCUGAGCUGACAAGGUAAAAAUCUGUCGUUCUGCCCCUGAACAGGCAGUUAACCCACUUGUUCCCCG
ensembl:lncRNA